AUUGAACGCUGGCGGCGGGCUUAACACAUGCAAGUCGAGCGGGGGAAGGUAGCUUGCUACUGGACCUAGCGGCGGACGGGUGAGUAAUGCUUAGGAAUCUGCCUAUUAGUGGGGGACAACAUCUCGAAAGGGAUGCUAAUACCGCAUACGUCCUACGGGAGAAAGCAGGGGAUCUUCGGACCUUGCGCUAAUAGAUGAGCCUAAGUCGGAUUAGCUAGUUGGUGGGGUAAAGGCCUACCAAGGCGACGAUCUGUAGCGGGUCUGAGAGGAUGAUCCGCCACACUGGGACUGAGACACGGCCCAGACUCCUACGGGAGGCAGCAGUGGGGAAUAUUGGACAAUGGGGGGAACCCUGAUCCAGCCAUGCCGCGUGUGUGAAGAAGGCCUUAUGGUUGUAAAGCACUUUAAGCGAGGAGGAGGCUACUUUAGUUAAUACCUAGAGAUAGUGGACGUUACUCACAGAAUAAGCACCGGCUAACUCUGUGCCAGCCGCCGCGGUAA
rnacentral:rRNA from 1 species